GCAAUGUUUACAUUGCAGCACUAAGUCUGCCUCCAGUGGCUGUCUCCCAGUGCUUCCUAGAUUGAAAUACUCUCCAUGAACCAUCCUUUCCUAUUGGGAGGUCUAAUGUGCAGGACAUCAGAGGGGGCGGAGCAGCGCCCCAGCGUCUGAGGGACACUGGCGCUGGGGUAAGGUAAGUAAAUAACUGUUUUUAACCCUUAAUUUAAUGCGGAGGGUGGAGGCAGAGGAAGCAAUAGUACCAGGAAUACAGCUUUGUAUUCCUGCCACUAUAGUAUCCCUUUAAUAAGUUUGUUUGUUGCAGCUUAUAUGUACAAAACAUAGACUAUUGUAAUUAGGUAAAAAGCUCAAAAACAAUGCUGCAAGAAGGUUAAAACAUGCAGAUCAUCUUCUCUGGGAAAAAAUAAGGUGGAUAUUGCAGUUUUAUCAAAUCUGGACUUUGACAAAGUAAUAUACAUUGCUGGAAUAUUUUAAGCUCUCUCUGUGACAGAGCUGAUGGUAUGAUCGUUUAGAGACCUUUAUAGAGGUGACCCCUUAUGAAACUCAAUAUUACUUGGAAGCUAUCCUGAAUAGUUUGCUAUAUUUAUUAGCAUUGUAUAACUUAAGAGACAUGAAUACGGGAAGAACAAACUUCUAUUAGGUCAGUUUAUACAGCAAACAAUGUAAACCUAGCUCUCUCCUCGACAGGCUUCACAUAUCUUGAUAUUAAGAAUACACAGCCAAAGGAUCAACACUUUUAUGUUAUAAAUCUGCAGGGAGAUGUAGGACAUGUGUUACCUUGAAAUUUAUUUUUCAAUAAUUAUUUACUCAGG